AACGAACGCUGGCGGCGUGGAUUAGGCAUGCAAGUCGAGCGAGAAAGGGGACUUCGGUCCCUGAGUACAGCGGCGAACUGGUGAGUAACAGGUGGGCAACGUGCCCGCGAGUCGGGGAUAACUUCCAGAAAUGGAGGCUAAUACCGGAUGUGGCCAAGACCUCAUAUGGGGACUUGACUAAAGAUUUAUCGCUCGUGGAUCGGCCCGCCCGGAUUAGCUUGUUGGUGAGGUAACGGCUCACCAAGGCUACGAUCCGUAGGUGGCCUGAGAGGGUGGUCACCCACACUGGGACUGAGAUACGGCCCAGACUCCUACGGGAGGCUG
rnacentral:rRNA from 1 species